GCAGGUUUGAAAAAUCCCAUACUUUUUCUUUUAUUUCUAGAGGAAUUCCUUAUGGUGAUGUCUUUGUGGAUAAAACAACUCUUCAGUCUGGAUGUUCAGCUCAAGCUAAAAUUAAUUUCUUUUACUUCUGGAGUUACAUGCAGUCCCUCUCACACACGAUGUCCAUUGAAUAGGCACAAAACCAGAGAAAAACAUUGGAAUUAUGGAAGAAUAUUGGAAGGAAGAGAAAUGAGGAUGGAAGAGAAAUGAGAAAUUAUUUUCUUUACUGUGGGGAACACCAGUGUGGUAUCCUGGGAAAUCUGUGGGCAGCUUCUGGAGACAGUGUCCAUUGCAGGAAAACCUCCAGAGUCUGGGAGAGCUUGUGUUUGAACUGGGAUCCUGAGAGAAGAUGCAGAGGAGUGACUCUGAAACUUACACUAAUUUCCUUAGCAGCCCCUGCACUGUUAUGAAAGACACUGCUCUCAUAUUUUCUGCCCCUUGAGCUCACUGAGGAGCUGCUAUCACAGCCACUGGCUUUAUUUGGGUCAUUAUUUUUUUAAAAAUUAAACUCUUUGAGAGCCUGCCACCUCUGUUUUGCAAAGGAAGAUUGUAAAGAUUGGCAAGGACAGGAUAAAUCUGCAGAGUCUAUUCUGGUUGUACUAAAACUCCAAUUUUAAAGGUGUCAUUUUCAAACCAGCUCCUAAACUGUGUAUUUUUAAUGUUUCUUGGUGUGUGCAGAGAGGUGCAGAGACUUCCUCCUUUUGUGGAACUCCCAGAUGGUCAAAACUCCUGAGCCUUGGCACUGAUACAGUCAAAGGUGCACACUGGAUUUGGAAUGGCCAAGCUCAUGGCUGGUUAAAAACCCCAGCCACGAUAUAUAAUAAAUGACAGAUGUCACAGAUACUCCUGGGUGCAAUGAGGAAGGUCACAGAAAUUUGCUUCUAAAAAUCAAUUUGAAUUUCUCUUUUCCUGCUGACAGCUUGGUGCUAAGGGUGGGCCCCCAUUUGAUGUGAGCCCUGCAAGCUGCUGCAGGCUACCAGUGAUUGGAAUUUACUUGGAUUAGUCUAAUUGCUGCCUCUGCCAUCAUCUGUUUGCAAUCACAAAGAGGAAGCUUCUGAAGCUUGGGAAUGAGAGAAAAUGAAGUGUCCUGACAACCACAAAACAGCAAGAAAGCUUUUGGAGGUUUUCCCGUCACUGUUUGGAUAAAUUCAGAGACAAGACCUCACUACUGCUCCUUAGCCACUUCAGCUCAAGUUCAGGACCAAGUGAUGCCCCUGGAGAUUUCAUAUGUUCUUAAAGGGAAAUAUCUGCCCCUGUGCAGAUAUUGCACUUUGCUCCAUCACAGCCUCCUUAUUGUUUAAAAGCUGGCCUCUGAAGACAGCAUCAGAGAGGAGCAGUGGGAGAUAAGCAACACAGACCACAAGAAGGAAAAGAGAUCCUAAGGGCUGUCAGAACAGCAGUAGUAGUGGGCCUAGAGGAAAAACUGCCCUCCAGCCACAAUCCCACCCAUGACUGAGCCAGAACCUUGGGAAUCAGGCACAUGGAGACCUCCAGAGAUGGCAGCCAGCAGCAAACCCACAGGACCUGCAAUGACACAGCACAACAAAAGGCUGGCACGCUGGAUUGCAGCAUUGCUGAGAGGAAAAGCGUGAACGCUGCAGGAAUUUCUGCUCCAUGGAAAAAUGUUAUUUUUGGAUUCUUCAGGAAGGCGUGCACAUAAAACCACAGGUUCCCUGCGGAGGUACAAAUCCAAAACAAACAUUCUGAAGAAUGUGAAUGGAGUAGAGCCCCAAUUUCCAUUUCAGUUCUCUCUCUGUUGUCCAAUUUGUUAAGCACAAGUGGUCCCAUGUGCGAGUAGCAUGACUGCCAGAAGCACUCUGCAGCCAUCUGCUUUUCUGGUAAGUCUUUGAUUAUUUCUCUGUCCAGUUUUCUAUCCAAAAUUAGAACUGGCAACUCAAUUGGUUGAUUAAUAUUGUAUUUUUUUCAUGUAACAUUUCCAGUGUAUGGCUAGGAAAUGUCAUCAAGGUCAUAAAAAGCACCAGAAAUUAACUUUCCUUCUCAAGACAAACUUUACCAUGGUAGAACUAUUUUACCACGUAGUUUCAGCCCUUCAAGGUAAUUAAAUAGGAAAAGUUUUACUGUUUGAGGGUAACACCAGACUGGAAAGAAAAGACAAAACAGCCUAGAUUAAUGUGAUGAGCUGUUUUGUACAUGUGAAGAACUGCCAGGCACUGAUAGAGGCAUUCACAGAAGAGCUGAACUUAAAGCCAGCACUGGAUAUAAGCUCCAACUAGGGGACUAGAAGGAACCACUGAAUCUUUAGAGUCUGUGGUUUAUUUGGGCUGAAUUGUGGGGUUUAACACAUUGCAAGUGUAGGGGAAGGUGGCUCUGAUGAGGGACCCCAGAGGACUCCUGAAUCCUGAGGCAUGUUGUGGGCAGAGCCCUUCUGUGUUUGUGCAGCUUCAAGGUUUCGGUUAACGAGUUGCAUCAAUUGACAGAAACUGAAAGGUUUUAGAUGCUUAAAGCAGAAAUUGUUCUGGAAAUACUGUGAGACAAGCAGAGGGUGAGUGAGAACUCUGGGUCAUUGCCCUUGUAUUUACUGCAUGGAGUCCCUGGUGCAUGACACGGCGCCUUUGGAUCGGAGCGUGCCGGGCGUGUCCGACGUGAGAGCCAGAGGAGGCAGAAAUGGAUGAGCCCCGAAGUACGGACUUGGCCAGUGAGAUUGCAUGAGAAAGAGUAACUGAGUAUUCAUUUGGUUGGUUGUUUCCCCUUUUUAAAUAAACUGCAUCAGAAUUUUGGUCUGAUCCAGCUGCAUCUUGGGAGGUGCAGCAGGUUUGCGGGACCGUGGUUGAAAUCUCACGUGCCACGUGCAGAGGUUUGGUAUU